GCCUGGGUGGCUCAGUCGGUUGAGCAUCUGACUUCGGCUUAGGUCAUGAUCUCACAGCUCAUGAGUUCAAACCCCAUGUCGGGCU
rnacentral:tRNA from 1 species